GGUACUGUGCCCGAAUCAGACAAAAGGCAUACUUUGAUAAAGUAUGAAUAGAGGUUUAAACCCUCUCAGCACCU
rnacentral:tRNA from 1 species